rnacentral:rRNA from 1 species
UACGGAGGGUGCAAGCGUUGUUCGGAAUCAUUGGGCGUAAAGCGCGUGUAGGCGGCUGGGUAAGUCUGAUGUGAAAGCCCGGGGCUCAACCCCGGAAGUGCAUUGGAUACUGCCCGGCUAGAGGGCGAGAGAGGGAAGUGGAAUUCCUGGUGUAGGGGUGAAAUCCGUAGAUAUCAGGAGGAACAUCAGUGGCGAAGGCGACUUCCUGGCUCGUUACUGACGCUGAGACGCGAAAGCGUGGGGAGCAAACAGG